rnacentral:sRNA from 1 species
UCAGCUGUUGUAUUACACCUCCAAUGGCGGU